rnacentral:lncRNA from 1 species
GUGAUAACUUGACCACUUGAGGAAUAUACCGUGUAGGCAACAUAUUUGGCGUUGUUGGUUACACCUUAGCUCAAAGUUCCUUUUCACCGAAUUAUUAAAGAUUUGCAACUGAUGUGUAAAGUUCAUCAAUAUUUUUUUUUAAGUUAACUUUUAUGAAGUUCGUUGUUAGCCUAUGUAAAACUGAAGACACACUCUUACGAUUUUGGCGGCAAAACAAGAUGGUCCGAAUGUUUUGUAAAGGGGCUGGGCUGACACAAUUUUUGUACUUUGUAUUUACAACUGUGAGGACCAGAAUUAAGAUUAGGACCACCAGGUCACAAAAUAUUUUGAGAACCUGGGCAAACUUUGAAAAUCCUAUAUAACACUGAAAUACAUCGGAUGCCUGAACUUCAAGUAAGACACAAUAAUCAAACAAAAUUAUAAAAUUGAAACUUUGGUAUAUAGUGAAAAGAAUAUGUAUCCUUCUUUCGUAGUGUCCCGUCACGUGGGACACGCAGUGGCGGCAACUCGAGGGCGGCAAGGCUUCUUGUAUUCGGACAAGUUAACCUAUAUGACAUAUUUUAAGUUAAUAAACUUCAACCACAGUUCGAUUAAUCCAUCAAGUAUAUUAAUUAUAAAUGUUUCUGCAAAUAUCUAAGAGUUAAAUUUGCUGUAUGGGAGUGAGAUUUUUACAUCUGUCAAAAUAUAUCGAAUCAAUUCAAUUGCAGAUGCGGAUCCAGGAUUUUGAAGAGCACGUACCAAAGCAACUUAAGAACACUGUUUGUAUAAAGCUUUGUUUGAGCAAUUAUAAAUGCAUGUAAAAUAUCAAAACCCCAAAAAAUGACUACUGCGGAAAGAUAAAUACAUCAAAAACGCCCUGAC